rnacentral:rRNA from 1 species
CGGUGUUCAACUGGCGUGCCCGCGGGACGUCCUGCCGGUGAGCUCAGCCCGCGAGGGCGGCUCAACUUGAAAUCCCAUCGCGGUGCUCUUCAUUGAGUGUCGAGGUGGGCCGGCACGAUUACUUUUGAACAAAUUAGAGUGCUUAAAGCAGGCUAAAAUUUUGCCUGAAUACUGUGUAUAUGGAAUAAUGGAAUAGGACCUCGGUUCUAUUUUGUUGGUUUUCGGAACCCCCGAGGUAAUGAUUAAUAGGAACGGAUGGGGGCAUUCGUAUUGCGACGUUAGAGGUGAAAUUCUUGGAUCGUCGCAAGACGGACUAAAGCGAAAGCAUUUGCCAAAAACGCUUUCAUUGAUCAAGAACGAAAGUUAGAGGUUCGAAGGCGAUCAGAUACCGCCCUAGUUCUAACCAUAAACUAUGCCAGCUAGCGAUCCGCCGACGUCCCUCUGAUGACUCGGCGGGCAGCUUCCGGGAAACCAAAGCUUUUGGGUUCCGGGGGAAGUAUGGUUGCAAAGCUGAAACUUAAAGGAAUUGACGGAAGGGCACCCCCAGGAGUGGAGCCUGCGGCUUAAUUUGACUCAACACGGGAAACCUCACCAGGCCCAGACACUGGAAGGAUUGACAGAUUGAGAGCUCUUUCUUGAUUCAGUGGGUGGUGGUGCAUGGCCGUUCUUAGUCGGUGGAGCGAUUUGUCAGGUUAAUUCCGAUAACGGACGAGACUCUGACCUGAUAACUAGACGCACUUGCGGCAUCUCAAAGGUCCGCCGGCGGCUGGCUUUGCGCCCGUCGUCGCGCGCGAUUUUUACUGCCGGCGUACAAUAAAUUCUUCUUAGAGGGACAAGUGG